UUCUGCAUUCCGACGGGCAAAAGUGACGAGACGCGUAGAUCGGCACAGAACCUGCCGGAAGAACUUCGCGCCUACGAAUAACACACGUUUGAGCGAAGUAAAUUUCGUGGCGUGUUUAUUUUUAAUUGCAGAACCUUGCACACAGUAUUGAAUAACAGUUCAACUGUGCGAAGAAGAGCCGGGCGUAUCAAAGCUUGUUGGAUCUUCCCAUUGCGCUCCCUGUCCUGCGGUGCUAACAAAACGCCACUAUCAGGACCACUUCACACGCGACGACUUCGAGGACAAGGAGACUCGAAAGAAGUUGAAGUGGACGGCAGUCCCAAGCAGUUUUGCAUACCGGACACCUACGAGGCUGAGGAAGGCUCCUAUCCCCCGUUCUUCGCACGCAGAGCUCUCCGAGGAGUCACCAAAAGACUUGCACACUGAAGUUGAUGACAACAUAGUGUAAGAUCAAGGGGCAGUGGAGGAUGGCAAUGCGUCGAAAUAUAUGUAGAUAUGCACUAUGAAAAUUAUUGAAAACUAUUCCUAAAUACUGAUCAAGGGGCAGUGGAGGAUGGUAAUGCGUCGAAAUAUAUGUAGAUAUGCACUAUGAGAACUACUGAAACUUAUGAAAACUAUUCCUAAAUAUUGAGCUGUAAUUGUGAGUGAAUCAACUUUGCAGAGAAAAACAACACCGUCACAAAUUUCUGUGACCAGAGCAUCGAGGAAUAUGCACAGGAAAAACCUGCAGACAAGUCAUGUGAUGGUCCCCUCGACGAGGUCGCAGUCUUAAAAGAAACGAGCAAAGGCUGAGACGGAAUGUAGUGACUUGAAGCUCACGGUCUACUCCUCAUGGAAGAUCAACUGCUUGCGUUGGAGCGGGGGAUUGGAAGAACAAUCCAUAGCACUUUACAUGCGCAUGAAAAAACGUUGGCAUUCACAUAGCCAUUGAACAUACCGGUCCACGACACAUCCAGUGCGCAUAGCCCAGAAUAAGGCGCUUCGUGCCAUGUUAUCGCUAUCGCCUCAAGAAAGUGUCUCUUUUGUAUAUCAUGUUUUCAAUAUACCGUCGGUUCAGGUUUUGCUUAUGCGUAGAUUGUGUGUAAUUGUUUUCAAACUGCGGCACAGUCUAAUUUCCGUACCGUUUGUAAGUUUACAGGCCAAGACCUGCGUAAUCCCAUUAAGGAAUCAGGGAUCAUUUGUCUUGACUUUGCCUAGUAUUCGAACCAACUAUGGCUACUUUUCUUUCCAGUAUUUCGCGGCCAAAGUUUGGAACUCGCUUCCACCUUAUAUUCAUACUUGUAAUUCGUUAGUGGUUCUCAGGAAGAUGAUUCAUGAUUAUUUCAUGGGUGAAAGCGCUGUGUAAUUGUCGUUGGUGCUUUACAUAUCAGGUGUUGACUCUUCAUGUUGUUGAUAUUGGUGUUUUCUUCUUUGAUUGAAAGGUCCUGGUCCUGUAUGAGUCGUUUGUAAUACUAAUUAUUUUUUAUUUUUUAUUUUGUGUUUCCUAGCGAUCACUGUCGUAUGUCAGCUUGAGUUGUAUUCAUACAAUAUUGGAUCAAUUCCACGCCUAUGGCGUUUGAUCCUUCUAAUUCGUGCCGUAUAAUGCAUUCAAUUUCUUUACCCCAUUUUGUAUGGCAUUACCUCUGUACAAGCUGUAAAAUAAAACAUUUGAACUGAACUGAACUGAACGUGUGAAAUAGAAAUUUAAUUGCGAAGAGAUGAUAAUAAAACUGGUGGAGGUUAUUUAUGUCAACCUGAAGCUGCACACACGAGCACUAUAGUUUUAUGUCCAUAAAACAAGUGAACUAAAAGAAAAAAAAACUCAUCUAUAGAGCGCAAACGAGACUCGACGAUGCCUUUUAGAGGCGAACACGCGCCAACAUAAUUCGUCUGUUAGCUACAGAAUACAACAAACUAUACUGUAGUGACGCUCGUGCCCUGUUUCAUUAAGUAUUAGCCGAGUCCCACCACAGGAAGUCACGAAAUUUUUGGUGCACAGCCGCGAAAUCAACGCGAUGUAACACUGACUACAGCUAUCCUAACACGCGAUCCGCGGCGGCUUGGAAGCAAUAUGGCUGCCCGAGCAGACGACGCGGAGCGGUUGCGGUACUCCUCCCCCGGUACAGUGACUCUAACCAGCGGAAUGCGAUGCGCUUUGCAUUGAAACGACCAGUGGAACACGCGCGCGCUGGCCAGUGCAGGUUUUUCUGCACUAGAACGACCAGUGGAAUUCGCUACGAUGAAAGAUGGAAGUCACUGAAAAGGUUAGCCAGCUGUAGGACUCGAACCCACAUCUUGGGGCUCAAUCUUGAUGUGCACAUAGCGAUCGUUAUAGCUAUUUUUCCAAAUUUGCGCGCUCAUUCCGUCACGCGCAUUGGCCGUUAACCGGGGAGCACGAGCGUUUAGCGAGCGUUACGGGAUAGCGAAAAGUUCAAAAUCUAGCCCAUAGACUUACCGGGGCAUGGGCUCGCGCUGGGCGCUGCUAGCAGUUUCCCCUCCUGUCUUAUUCUUACUCCGUGGCCCCACUUAUACAAUUUGCAGGCAACAUUGAGUCAAGUUAAAUGAUAUCAGCACCAUAACUGUGAAAGAUUAACUUCACGUUCAGUGUAGUAGUAGGUUGACUUGUGUCCACCUUUCCAUGCAGUUCCUUUUUCUAUUUUUUACCAACGAAUCCACCGAAAACCAUACGAACGUUCAUCACACUUGAACAGAAAGUCAUGCUUAAUACAAACGUAGUUUGUCUCCACUAUUCCGCAGUGUUUUGGAUGGUUACUGAUUUGACAAAUUCUUAUCACUCAAGGUCCAUGCUGGCCAUGGUGUUUGGCUGCCAAAAUCUACAUGGGACAUAAUCUUCCGAGAAGGAAAUGAGAGCAUGUUUGUAAAGAAGAUGGCGGUAGCGAUUUGGGGGAGAGAUGCUCUCAGUGCUAGGAGUGUGCACGGUAUUCUCCCCAAUCGUGCAAAGGCUGAGGGCAAAGUCUCGGCGCAGCUCCCUAUGACACCCCAGAAGGUUGCUGCAAUCCAGGCCUAUGGCAUCAGAGAGGCAACAGGAUGUGUCCGUCGAUCUCAAUCCUUGCAUCUCUGAUGAAAGUCUGUCUGGAGGACUCCUUCACUCACUACAAGAAGAUGAGAGGAGAGGAGCAGGGAGAGCUGCCAAAGGACGAAGAAAAAAAAAAGAAACAAAUUUGUCGUAAAAUGCCUCAACGAAAAAGCCAGCCAAUUGCGAAAAAAAAAUUAAAACUUUUUCUUGAACAAACAGGUGUUCCUUGCAUAAAUUGCCACUUAGCACACCCAGCCAAUCAGGAAGGCUGUCAUAACGACAUCAGGUAGACGUCAUGUCAUCAUCAGCAUCAGAACGCCUUUGACGUC